UCGAGAUACAAAGAACGGUUAAGUGUUAUAACAUAUAUUGAAACAGCUUCAGAAGGUCAAAAAAAAAAAAAAUAUACAUGGAACUGUCGUUUUCGACUGUCUUUAGACAGUCAGGAAAAGAUACAAAUAUGGAAUCGACGAACUCUACCAUGGAUUUGGCUUAUAGUUUUUAUAGUGAAAGCUCAAAUUCUUCAAUAAGUUUAAACAAAGCGAUGCUUAUGUCAGUCGAUGAUAAUACGUUAAAUUCUAACAAUAAUAGUUGUUAUCAUUCGUACGUCGAAGAACAAAAUGAAACGUUAUUUGAACACACCGAUAGCACAAGUUUAAAGCCUUUAUCCAAUUUUACGAUUAAUUCGAACUCGGAACAAGAAAAUUCAGAUAAUUUGGAAGAUACACAACAUACAAAUAUCGAAGAAGAGAAUCAUGAAGGAUAUAUCCCAUUAAGAACGCUGUUAAGAAACAUGUUUGAGGAAAUUUUAGGAAAGUAUAAUGGAAUCACAAGACAGUCAAAUGUAAGUUCGACUAACAGAAGUUCAAACAGUGACAAUUCAAUGGAUAAUUGGGAUAAUACAGAUGAAGUAAAUAAUAAUCUUUUAGUUUGUCAAACACAAAAAUCUAGUAAUAUUGUUAUAACUACUAUCGAUAAUGUAAAAGAUCCUGAUAAAAUUAUUGGUUUAUCUUCACAGCAUAUAUUAGAUUCUAGAAGCAUAAAUACAAUAUUAGAAAAUUCCAAUGAAAGUUCUAGUAAUUCACAGAUAAAUGAUAGUUCUAAAUGGUCUGGAAGAUUAAUAGACAAAUUGAGAAAUUUCACUUCUCACAGAAGAGAAAAAAAAUAUAGAAAUCAUAUAUUUAUUACCAGUGAUAUAAGCAAUGAAAGUAUAUCUUCGAGCAUAUCAGGUGAUGUUAAAAAAGUAACCGAAGAAAUUUUUCAAAAGGCAAAUAAUUUAUCAAUGGAUGAUUCUUUAAAAUUAAAAAGUAAUGAUGCAACACCAAAUAAUGAAAAAGUAAAAUCUCCAAUAAAAAAAAAACGGAGAAGUGUAUCUUUACCGAAAUAUAUGGAAGAUGAAAAUACUGAACAACAAAAUGAGAAAAUAUUAAUUAAUAAUUCACAAAAGAGUUAUACACCACCCUAUAUAAGAAAUAGAUCAAAUUAUAUAAGUACAUCACCGAUUAAACCAGUAAAAUACUUAAGGCAAUAUUUUGCGAAUUUAGAUAAUAAAAAUAAUAAAAAAAAUAUAAAGCGGUCGCCAAAGCUAAAUAAAUAUAUAAGAAGACACAGAAUACCUUAUAUACGUGUAAUACCUGCUACACCAAAAUAAAAUAUAAUAAGUUCAGGUUAGAAAUUACUGGUCAAUUUACGACGUCAUCGAGUUAAUUGGUAAAAAGGCGAUUGACCCGAGGUAGACAGAGAGACAGAGGUCACCAUCCUUCGAAACAACACAUCCUUCAGUGACUUCCGGUGUGCCGCGUAUGUUUAUGAAUCAUUUUGAUAUUUCUAUAUCAAUGUUCUUACUCGUCUUUUUAUUCGUUUUUACGUUAACCAGCCCAUAAAUGAUUUUUGAAAGACCUUGUAAUUCAUGAGGAAUCUAUGAUGGACGAUCCCUGCCAAUGUAUCGUCUGGUGUCAAGUACUCAUUGCAAAAAAUGAUCAUCCUACUGAAACAUCCUACAAAUGUCCAUCUUAUCGUGAAGAAACAGUUAUGCGAAAUAAAACGCUAAGAAUGCUAUUGAUUUUUGCAGUGGAUUUCUAUUAGCUUGUAAAAUACGAAACUAUUCAAGGUUUCAACCAAGGCUCUAAAUUUUGAAAGUGAAAGAAGGUAAUUUGAUGAAAAGUUUGCAAGAAUCAUUGCUAUGUGUGGGUGUUUCGGAUGUAUAAAGACAGGGUCGAACAUGGAUAAUUGAUAUCCAUGGUUUUUUAGUGGUCAAUUAAAUGGAACAUUUUUAGUUUUCUUUACAAUGCUAUUCACUGCUCCUUGAAUUUAUAAAUAGAAACGGGAGCAGUUGAAACAUAGUGGGUAUUUUCAGUUGAAUGAAUAACACAAGAAAUGGAAUAAGUUACAAUAAAAUGAACAUUUAUUUAUUUAAAAAAAAUUGAUAA